GACGAACGCUGGCGGCGUGCUUAACACAUGCAAGUCGAACGGAAAGGCCCUGCUUGCAGGGUACUCGAGUGGCGAACGGGUGAGUAACACGUGGGUGAUCUGCCCUGCACUUCGGGAUAAGCCUGGGAAACUGGGUCUAAUACCGGAUAGGAGCCAUUUUUAGUGUGAUGGUUGGAAAGUUUUUUCGGUGUAGGAUGAGCUCGCGGCCUAUCAGCUUGUUGGUGGGGUAAUGGCCUACCAAGGCGGCGACGGGUAGCCGGCCUGAGAGGGUGGACGGCCACAUUGGGACUGAGAUACGGCCCAGACUCCUACGGGAGGCAGCAGGGGGGAAUAUUGCACAAGGGGCGCAAGCCGGAUGCAGCGACGCCGCGUGGGGGAUGACGGCCUUCGGGUUUUAAACCCCUUUCGCUAGGGACGAAGCUUUUUGGGCGGGAACCUAUAAAAAAGACCCGGCCAAAUUAGGG
rnacentral:rRNA from 1 species